UGUCUCUUGACCCAAAUGGCCAAGCAAAAUAUGCAAUCUUCCACGAGAAGAAACUGACAACAAAAUCAGGAGUAUCCUGCCAUCAGUCUGCACCAAGAACUCACAUCAACAUCAAUGGAAGCUUUGCGUGCAUUGUGCAGUUUAGCUUCUUGCCACUGUUUGGACCACAACUGUUUGUUUUACCAAAGCGUGAUCUUGGAUCCUCAUGACUGGUUUGAAACUGAACUGAGAUAAAAUAUAAUUGCUUUUGGCAAAUCCUCUCUGCCUACUAGGUGGUUCUUUCUAGGCAAUCGAAACUACCUAUGCAUAUCUAAAGUAUACAUCUGGAGCUGGUCAGAUCAUUUCCAUGAAAUGAAAUCUCAUCAAAAUAUGCUGCCCUGUCAGAGCCAAAGCAUUUUGUGGAAAACACAUCCGUUUAGGUGAAGUUUUAAUCAGGGAGGUAUUCAAGACACAAGGCUAUUGGUCACUUCUCAUGGGGGAGACAGAGAAAGCGUGCAGCCCAGUUUGAAAACCCAUGAUUUUUCAUCACAAACCAAUAAUUUCAG
rnacentral:lncRNA from 1 species